rnacentral:rRNA from 1 species
AGAGUUUGAUCCUGGCUCAGAUUGAACGCUGGCGGCAGGCUUAACACAUGCAUGACGAGCGGGGAAGGGUAGCUUGCUACCUAACCUAGCGGCUUGACGGGUGAGUAAUGCUUAGGAAUCUGCCUAUUAGUGGGGGACAACAUUCCGAAAGGAAUGCUAAUACCGCAUACGCCCUACGGGGGAAAGCAGGGGAUCUUCGGACCUUGCGCUAAUAGAUGAGCCUAAGUCAGAUUAGCUAGUUGGUGGGGUAAAGGCCUACCAAGGCGACGAUCUGUAGCGGGUCUGAGAGGAUGAUCCGCCACACUGGGACUGAGACACGGCCCAGACUCCUACGGGAGGCAGCAGUGGGGAAUAUUGGACAAUGGGCGCAAGCCUGAUCCAGCCAUGCCGCGUGUGUGAAGAAGGCCUUUUGGUUGUAAAGCACUUUAAGCGAGGAGGAGGCUACUGGUAUUAAUACUACCGGAUAGUGGACGUUACUCGCAGAAUAAGCACCGGCUAACUCUGUGCCAGCAGCCGCGGUAAUACAGAGGGUGCGAGCGUUAAUCGGAUUUACUGGGCGUAAAGCGUGCGUAGGCGGCUUUUUAAGUCGGAUGUGAAAUCCCUGAGCUUAACUUAGGAAUUGCAUUCGAUACUGGGAAGCUAGAGUAUGGGAGAGGAUGGUAGAAUUCCAGGUGUAGCGGUGAAAUGCGUAGAGAUCUGGAGGAAUACCGAUGGCGAAGGCAGCCAUCUGGCCUAAUACUGACGCUGAGGUACGAAAGCAUGGGGAGCAAACAGGAUUAGAUACCCUGUAGUCCAUGCCGUAAACGAUGUCUACUAGCCGUUGGGGCCUUUGAGGCUUUAGUGGCGCAGCUAACGCGAUAAGUAGACCGCCUGGGGAGUACGGUCGCAAGACUAAAACUCAAAUGAAUUGACGGGGGCCCGCACAAGCGGUGGAGCAUGUGGUUUAAUUCGAUGCAACGCGAAGAACCUUACCUGGUCUUGACAUAGUAAGAACUUUCCAGAGAUGGAUUGGUGCCUUCGGGAACUUACAUACAGGUGCUGCAUGGCUGUCGUCAGCUCGUGUCGUGAGCUGUUGGGUUAAGUCCCGCAACGAGCGCAACCCUUUUCCUUAUUUGCCAGCGGGUUAAGCCGGGAACUUUAAGGAUACUGCCAGUGACAAACUGGAGGAAGGCGGGGACGACGUCAAGUCAUCAUGGCCCUUACGACCAGGGCUACACACGUGCUACAAUGGUCGGUACAAAGGGUUGCUACCUAGCGAUAGGAUGCUAAUCUCAAAAAGCCGAUCGUAGUCCGGAUUGGAGUCUGCAACUCGACUCCAUGAAGUCGGAAUCGCUAGUAAUCGCGGAUCAGAAUGCCGCGGUGAAUACGUUCCCGGGCCUUGUACACACCGCCCGUCACACCAUGGGAAUUUGUUGCACCAGAAGUAGGUAGUCUAACCGCAAGGAGGACGCUUACCACGGUGACCGCUAUGACUGGGGUGAAGUCGUAACAAGGUAACCGUA